AAUAUAUCUGAUGACGUAGCCGUUUAGUACCUAGUUGGACUGCCACACCGCAAGUGUUUACCGAAAAUUGGUCCGUCCUACGUGACUGGAUCGUUACUGAUGUCCAUUCCGUGUUUUGAUACACGUCUAGUGGUAUGGAGAGGGGUCGCCGUGGCCCAGUGGUUAAGGCAUCUGACAUUCUUCUACCGCUAAAGCCUUCCACCGCUGGGUCGCGGGUUGGAGACCUACGUGGGGCAGCCACCAGGAACCGACCGUUGGUCGGUGGUUUUCCUCCGGGAACUGCGGCUUUUCUACACCAUCAAAACCUGGCACGUCUUUAAAUGACCAUAGCUGUUACUAGGACGUCAAACACAAACAAACAAAUCAGUGGUUCGGUGUACAAGUCAAAGAGAAAAUAAAUCUUCAGAAUUG